rnacentral:lncRNA from 1 species
CUCUUCCUCGCCGUCGCAACUUCCUCCGCCCGAUGCGAUGGUCUCCGGCGUCUCCUCUUCUCUUCUUCUUUCUUCUUCUCUUCUUUUCUAUUUUUUUUUGUUUUCAGUUGCUGUUUUUAUUUUCUCCUUUUUUGCUUGUUGCUUUGCUUGUUUGAGUUGUAGGUGUUGACGACGGUGGGCACGUUGGCGUUGGUGCGACGGCGGUGACUUUUGCUUGCUGCUAUUUUGAUUUUUUUGGUUUCUUUGCUGUUUUUUCUUCCUUUUUUAUGUUGAGAACCCCCCCUUGAUUUUGGGGUUUAAACCCCUUUUUAUAGCUGAUUUCUCUUUCUUUUUGCAGGUAGCAAGUGGGCUAGGGAGAGGUAGGCCGGCCGCCGCCGUUGCAGGCGCAAGUUGGGCUGAUUGCUGUCAGAGGGACCAAAAUAUAAAUACAGCAAAAUUUUUGGGGCCAAAACGUAAUUUAGAGAAAGUUUAGGGGUUGAAAUGUAAUUUUGAGAAAGUUUAGGGGUCAAAAUGUAAUUUAGAAAAGUUUAGGGGUUGAAAUGUAAUUUCAAAAAAGUACAGGGGUCAAAAUGUAAUUUUUUUAAUUUUUUUUAAUUUUUUAACACAAAAUUAUUCCCGGACAAAAUUCAGUGAUUACAAUAAUUUUAUAACUAAAUUUUAUUAUUAACCAUUAAGAAGGUUAAGUAGAUAUAACCCAAC